AACGUAGGAGGCAAGCGUUAUCCGGAUUUAUUGGGCGUAAAGGGCGCGUAGGCGGCCUGGCAAGUGGAUGGUGAAAUCCCUCGGCUUAACCGAGGAACUGCCAUCCAGACUGCUUGGCUUGAGACCGGGAGAGGUGAGUGGAAUUCCCAGUGUAGCGGUGAAAUGCGUAGAUAUUGGGAGGAACACCAGUGGCGAAGGCGGCUCACUGGACCGGUACUGACGCUGAGGCGCGAAAGCGUGGGGAGCAAACGGG
rnacentral:rRNA from 1 species